CUUGUUUGCUCCCCCUUCCUAGAUAAAGAAGGUCUCUCCAGACUUCAGGCAGUUGCUGGGGAAUGGACACAUUAGGAUGAGAGGUAGGUUCUGUAUUUGCAGGAAUUCCUACAGGCCAUGCUCUUCUACGUCUGGCCCAUGUUUGUGCCACUGACAACUUUUAUUCUGCCUCUUUUGGUUUUGUGUUACCAUGAAAACCAUGGAAUUCCAUUGAUGGGAUCCGUAUGGAUACAAGGAAUAUGAAAAGGAAAACAAACAAUAUAUCAAAGGACUGUCAAGAAUUUCAGUGUCCAAAUUUUCCAUGCUUGCCCCUUACAAGACUGCGUGUUCAUCACCAGACUCAAUUUCUCUUUCACUAAUGAUCCUUUCCUUGAGGGAGUGUCUAAUUAUCUGACCUCCCUGACUUGUCCUCUCUUCUCCUCUUUCCCUUCUGUGGCUAGAGGAUUUGGGGAUGGCCAUAAAUACUACAAAGGUCAAUGGUUCCAGCUUUCCUCAGGAAGCAGAAACAAAAGCAAACCCAUCCAAUCACUCUGAACACUCUUUAAAGUCUUGAAGAAAUAGUGGAAGGUUUGAGGUGAAGUUUUGUAACCUGUCUGGACCAGGAUACUCUUCCUUGACAUAAAUCAGGAGAGGAAACGCAACGUUUGGCUAAUCUGAGUAGGACUUUGAUGAUAAUUUGCCGAGAGAGAAGUUAAAGUAAGCGGUACAACAUGAAAUAACAGUAACUAAAAUUAAUGGAGCUGUAAAUGGGAUUGCAUUGUGCAGGGCCCCAACAUAUGGUUCAAAUUCAGCGCUUCCUCUGUAUCUGACAGAAUUCUUACAGCAAGAAUGCUUCUGAAGAACCGCCACUGCACCCACCAUGAAAACACAGAGAAGAAAACCUCACCCCACGAUGUCUCUUCACCAUUCUUUUUCCUCCCAUGGUGACUGUGGUUUUAUUUAUGCUCUCAAUUAAACAUGGGUCUGAGUUUGCACUUGUAAAUGGAUUUAUCCAUCUUAUUUAUGGUAUAAACCUCAAGGCAUACAGUAGAAGGUCAUUUGGAUAGCAGAGUUGAGAUAUACUCCACAGCAAGAACCAUCUGAAAUGUAGACUGAUAGUAAGCAGAAUGUAGGCAGCUUGACAGAUAUUGGCAUGGAAUCUACAGGAGGCACAAAUCUACCUAAAGAGGCAAAUGGAGGCCAACCAUACAAUUGCAAAACAACUCCAUUGGCCAAGUUUAGGAACCUUAGCAUACAGUUGUUGUCAAUAAAAGAGACAGAUGUCUUGGCUCUGAACGUAAUCAACUGAAAUCUAGUCAGUGCGGUCAGCAGUGCCUAGAGAGCUAUUCAUAGGAGUAAAUGUAGAGAUUCAACUCAGUUGCUUCAACAUAGGUAUCAGUGUUCUUUUGCCAUAUCCUCCCAUAUUUAAGGUAUUCAUGCAAGACUGACAGAUACAAUUUGAGAGUAAUGAGAAAUGAAUGGUCUCUAGAAGCAGCAGCUAGGUACCAGGCAGGAUACAAUAGAUACAUCUACGCUUUGGCAACCAAACCUCCAGGUGAUGUGCAAUCACAAGAACACACUCUGUGUGGACUGAACAACAAAUAAAUCAAGGUUAAAAGCAGCCCAUUAGCAAAGAUCUCAACCUCAGCUCCUUCUGCAUUAGCUAUGAAGAGUGUACAGCACACAGCAUGAAUGAAAAGCAUAUGAGUUUCAAAGCUCAUGAGUUAACCUGUUGCCAAGUUCAUUCUUCACCACGUAGACUAGACUGAAGCUACAAUUCUUCAGCCUAUGCCAAACACAGACCAACAUUUUGGCCUCGUUCUAAGUAAGGAGUGUAUAUCACGUUAACAGAAAUCUGGAAGCAACUAGGCCGGAUAGGAACGUCACUAAGAUGAAGAAUUCAUGCCUAUGUAUUAAUUCUACUAUUUCCAUAGCAUAUAAUUAUUACCAUCAGAGCGAAUAGUGAGCUAUCCCUCUUCCUCAAGCCUGCAGUGAGUCUGACUUCUGUAGCUGUGCUUAAUUGUUGCCAGGAAUCCCUGUAGCAGCAUUACCCUGUUUAAUAUUACAUGACAUGAGAAAAUUAAAUGAUCAAUAUCAAGUUAAGAGCACUCAGUUGUUCCUUCUUUACUUUUGUAAUUGCUAGUGUGAUGAGAAAAUAAUUAUGAUGUUGAGUUUAUUGCUAUUCUCAUUGUCCUCUGUUAGUGAUUCUUGUUGUUCAGCUACGGACAUGUCCAAUUUGAAUUGUCUAUAAUAUUGUUGCCGUGGAAGGAAAAAGAAAGGAAAGGGGAAGGGAUAGGAACUAUGAGAAAUUAAAGGCUGAUCUAAGAUUAACAAAGUGUUUACUUUGACUCUUGGCAAGGUCUGUUUGUAAAAGGACACUACAAAAGCAAAAAUCAUCUAGAGAGGAUUUGUUUAAAGUGACACUGUCAGCUUAAAUAUCACACUUCAAGAUCUUUUUUAACUUUAUGUUGUUAUAAGUAACGCCCAAACGAAUUAUAUCCCGUUAAUACCAUUGGAACACCUCAGAUUAUUACAGCUGACAGAGUAUAGAAAAAUAUUUCUCUCUAAGUUUUCAUUUGUUUUCAUUGCAGUUGAUAGCUCUCUAUCCACGAGCACCAAGAUAUAUGGAAAGCCUACACACAAAAAGUGCCAUGUAAAAUAUUGCCCAAGUCUUCCAUAGCUUUUUAUUGAUGUGAACUCACCAACAGCUGAAUUUUUUUUUUUAAUUUCAUCACUUCCCUCUCCAUGUGUUAGGGUUCUUUCCCGUUGCUGGUAUGACUUCCUGACAGAGUAACAGAGAGAAAAAAAAAAUACCACCAAUGGAUUUAGAAAUAUAAUUUUUAAAACCAGCAGGGAAAAUAGAAAAACAGAAAUCCCCAUUAGACAUCAGCAGGAGCAGGUCUCCUUAGGGUCUUUGCUUUCGCCCAUGUGAGAACAAGAAUACCUACCUCCUUCAGAAGCCUGUGGGAUUGGGCUGAUAAAGAGAUCCUUUAGUGGUGAUGUUUAGGAGUCACUGGUGACAGCGUUAAGAAAUCUUGGGAGAGAGAAGGAAACAAAACUGGUUAUUCACUUCCUUUGUUCAGCUGCCUUCAGAGGUUUUGAAGGAGCUGAAUACAAAGACAUUAUGGCAUAUGCCAACUGUUGACUCUAUCAAAUAAUAAAGCAAUCCCAGUGGGUAUUAAGAAGCGUGGAAUCACUCUAAUGAGUCUGGCAAAAUCUCAUUAGGAUGAACAGCAGGUGAUGACAAAAUAUUUGCUCUGUAUGCAAAUGACUUGUUUCCUUCUCUGUCUACACGCAGUUACAUGAACGCUCAGAAUGGGAGCUAUUGGAUAAUUACUCACUGGGGUAAAGCCCUGCAUAUGUGGUGGCUGCAUUUCAAACGCAUCAGUGGCAAAAAUGGGAAAAAUGUUUGAAAAAAGAGCUGUGUUUUAGGGCAAGAGCCACACUCAGCCUCCUACCCUGCAUAAAAGGCAGUUUUUCUGGACUUCCAGACAUUCCAUCUGUCUUUUCAGUAAUGCCUUCAAAGUGAGAAGAGAAGGACUGCAGGUUGUCCAAACUUCUCCAAGAGCUAAGUUGGCAUAGGAGACAUGGUGUUUGUGAGGGGAAUGGAAAUGAUGAAAAGAAAAAACGGCCAAGUCAGUUCCAGCUGUCAGAGUUCUGUUCCUACUCCUCAUACGUGUCAUAAGCAAAAUUCUUGCAUGGAUGAGAUGGAAAUCCCCCAAGAGCCCCAUUCUUCUGUGUGUGCCAGAGAAGAGGAGGACAUGAGAAUUGACUCAAAGGACAUUCCAGAUUAAAUAAAUGAAGCCAUGAG
ensembl:lncRNA